GUGAGGAAUAUUGGUCAAUGGGCGGGAGCCUGAACCAGCCAAGUCGCGUGAAGGAAGAAGGAUCUAUGGUUCGUAAACUUCUUUUGCAGGGGAAUAAAGUGCAGGACGUGUCCUGUUUUGUAUGUACCCUGAGAAUAAGGAUCGGCUAACUCCGUGCCAGCAGCCGCGGUAAUACGGAGGAUCCGCGCGUUAUCCGGAUUUAUUGGGUUUAAAGGGUGCGUAGGUGGUUUGAUAAGUCAGCGGUGAAAGUUUGCAGCUUAACUGUAAAAAUGCCGUUGAAACUGUCGGACUUGAGUGUAAAUGAGGUAGGCGGAAUGCGUGGUGUAGCGGUGAAAUGCAUAGAUAUCACGCAGAACUCCGAUUGCGAAGGCAGCUUACUAAGCUACAACUGACACUGAAGCACGAAAGCGUGGGGAUCAAACAGGAUUAGAAACCCUGGUAGUCC
rnacentral:rRNA from 1 species